rnacentral:rRNA from 1 species
UACGGAGGGUGCAAGCGUUAUCCGGAUUUACUGGGCUUAAAGGGUGCGUAGGUGGGUCUGUAAGUCAGUGGUGAAAUCUCCGGGCUUAACCCGGAAACUGCCAUUGAUACUAUAGGUCUUGAAUAUCCUGGAGGUGAGCGGAAUAUGUCAUGUAGCGGUGAAAUGCUUAGAUAUGACAUAGAACACCAAUUGCGAAGGCAGCUCACUACGGGAUUAUCGACACUGAGGCACGAAAGCGUGGGGAUCAAACAGG